UACAGAGGGUGCAAGCGUUAAUCGGAAUUACUGGGCGUAAAGGGUCUGUAGGUGGCUUGCUAAGUCAGACGUGAAAUCCCUCAGCUUAACUGGGGAACUGCGUCUGAGACUGGCGAGCUUGAGGGCAGGAGAGGAACGCGGAAUUCCAGGUGUAGCGGUGAAAUGCGUAGAUAUUGGGAAGAACACCGGUGGCGAAGGCGGCUCUCUGGACCGAUACUGACGCUGAGGCGCGAAAGCGUGGGGAGCAAACAGG
rnacentral:rRNA from 1 species